rnacentral:rRNA from 1 species
GGUUAAGCGACUAAGCGUACACGGUGGAUGCCCUGGCAGUCAGAGGCGAUGAAGGACGUGCUAAUCUGCGAUAAGCGUCGGUGAGGUGAUAUGAACCGUUAUAACCGGCGAUUUCCGAAUGGGGAAACCCAGUGUGUUUCGACACACUAUCAUUAACUGAAUCCAUAGGUUAAUGAGGCGAACCGGGGGAACUGAAACAUCUAAGUACCCCGAGGAAAAGAAAUCAACCGAGAUUCCCCCAGUAGCGGCGAGCGAACGGGGAGGAGCCCAGAGCCUGAAUCAGUGUGUGUGUUAGUGGAAGCGUCUGGAAAGGCGCGCGAUACAGGGUGACAGCCCCGUACACAAAAAUGCACAUAUUGUGAGCUCGAUGAGUAGGGCGGGACACGUGGUAUCCUGUCUGAAUAUGGGGGGACCAUCCUCCAAGGCUAAAUACUCCUGACUGACCGAUAGUGAACCAGUACCGUGAGGGAAAGGCGAAAAGAACCCCGGCGAGGGGAGUGAAAAAGAACCUGAAACCGUGUACGUACAAGCAGUGGGAGCCUCUUUAUGGGGUGACUGCGUACCUUUUGUAUAAUGGGUCAGCGACUUAUAUUCUGUAGCAAGGUUAACCGAAUAGGGGAGCCGAAGGGAAACCGAGUCUUAACUGGGCGUUAAGUUGCAGGGUAUAGACCCGAAACCCGGUGAUCUAGCCAUGGGCAGGUUGAAGGUUGGGUAACACUAACUGGAGGACCGAACCGACUAAUGUUGAAAAAUUAGCGGAUGACUUGUGGCUGGGGGUGAAAGGCCAAUCAAACCGGGAGAUAGCUGGUUCUCCCCGAAAGCUAUUUAGGUAGCGCCUCGUGAAUUCAUCUCCGGGGGUAGAGCACUGUUUCGGCAAGGGGGUCAUCCCGACUUACCAACCCGAUGCAAACUGCGAAUACCGGAGAAUGUUAUCACGGGAGACACACGGCGGGUGCUAACGUCCGUCGUGAAGAGGGAAACAACCCAGACCGCCAGCUAAGGUCCCAAAGUCAUGGUUAAGUGGGAAACGAUGUGGGAAGGCCCAGACAGCCAGGAUGUUGGCUUAGAAGCAGCCAUCAUUUAAAGAAAGCGUAAUAGCUCACUGGUCGAGUCGGCCUGCGCGGAAGAUGUAACGGGGCUAAACCAUGCACCGAAGCUGCGGCAGCGACACUAUGUGUUGUUGGGUAGGGGAGCGUUCUGUAAGCCUGUGAAGGUGGCCUGUGAGGGUUGCUGGAGGUAUCAGAAGUGCGAAUGCUGACAUAAGUAACGAUAAAGCGGGUGAAAAGCCCGCUCGCCGGAAGACCAAGGGUUCCUGUCCAACGUUAAUCGGGGCAGGGUGAGUCGACCCCUAAGGCGAGGCCGAAAGGCGUAGUCGAUGGGAAACAGGUUAAUAUUCCUGUACUUGGUGUUACUGCGAAGGGGGGACGGAGAAGGCUAUGUUGGCCGGGCGACGGUUGUCCCGGUUUAAGCGUGUAGGCUGGUUUUCCAGGCAAAUCCGGAAAACCAAGGCUGAGGCGUGAUGACGAGGCACUACGGUGCUGAAGCGACAAAUGCCCUGCUUCCAGGAAAAGCCUCUAAGCAUCAGGUAACAUCAAAUCGUACCCCAAACCGACACAGGUGGUCAGGUAGAGAAUACCAAGGCGCUUGAGAGAACUCGGGUGAAGGAACUAGGCAAAAUGGUGCCGUAACUUCGGGAGAAGGCACGCUGAUAUGUAGGUGAAGCGACUUGCUCGUGGAGCUGAAAUCAGUCGAAGAUACCAGCUGGCUGCAACUGUUUAUUAAAAACACAGCACUGUGCAAACACGAAAGUGGACGUAUACGGUGUGACGCCUGCCCGGUGCCGGAAGGUUAAUUGAUGGGGUUAGCGGUAACGCGAAGCUCUUGAUCGAAGCCCCGGUAAACGGCGGCCGUAACUAUAACGGUCCUAAGGUAGCGAAAUUCCUUGUCGGGUAAGUUCCGACCUGCACGAAUGGCGUAAUGAUGGCCAGGCUGUCUCCACCCGAGACUCAGUGAAAUUGAACUCGCUGUGAAGAUGCAGUGUACCCGCGGCAAGACGGAAAGACCCCGUGAACCUUUACUAUAGCUUGACACUGAACAUUGAGCCUUGAUGUGUAGGAUAGGUGGGAGGCUUUGAAGUGUGGACGCCAGUCUGCAUGGAGCCGACCUUGAAAUACCACCCUUUAAUGUUUGAUGUUCUAACGUUGGCCCGUAAUCCGGGUUGCGGACAGUGUCUGGUGGGUAGUUUGACUGGGGCGGUCUCCUCCUAAAGAGUAACGGAGGAGCACGAAGGUUGGCUAAUCCUGGUCGGACAUCAGGAGGUUAGUGCAAUGGCAUAAGCCAGCUUGACUGCGAGCGUGACGGCGCGAGCAGGUGCGAAAGCAGGUCAUAGUGAUCCGGUGGUUCUGAAUGGAAGGGCCAUCGCUCAACGGAUAAAAGGUACUCCGGGGAUAACAGGCUGAUACCGCCCAAGAGUUCAUAUCGACGGCGGUGUUUGGCACCUCGAUGUCGGCUCAUCACAUCCUGGGGCUGAAGUAGGUCCCAAGGGUAUGGCUGUUCGCCAUUUAAAGUGGUACGCGAGCUGGGUUUAGAACGUCGUGAGACAGUUCGGUCCCUAUCUGCCGUGGGCGCUGGAGAACUGAGGGGGGCUGCUCCUAGUACGAGAGGACCGGAGUGGACGCAUCACUGGUGUUCGGGUUGUCAUGCCAAUGGCACUGCCCGGUAGCUAAAUGCGGAAGAGAUAAGUGCUGAAAGCAUCUAAGCACGAAACUUGCCCCGAGAUGAGUUCUCCCUGACUCCUUGAGAG